GACGGAGGAUGCAAGUGUUAUCCGGAAUCACUGGGCGUAAAGCGUCUGUAGGUGGUUCAAUAAGUCAACUGUUAAAUCUUGAGGCUCAACUUCAAAAUCGCAGUCGAAACUAUUGGACUCGAGUAUAGUAGGGGUAAAGGGAAUUUCCAGUGGAGCGGUGAAAUGCGUAGAGAUUGGAAAGAACACCAAUGGCGAAAGCACUUUACUGGGCUAUUACUGACACUGAGAGACGGAAAGCUAGGGUAGCAAAUGGG
rnacentral:rRNA from 1 species